UUGAGUACAUGUUUGACACAGACUCUCAUCUAUGGAGCAUAAGACGAAGCAAGGCGAACAUAAACCGUCUGAAAUCAAUUUUCUCCAGCCUUAUAUCAGUUGGAAGCGGGUUAAUGGAAAUUACAACAUGAAAGAAUUCUGUCACAACAGCCUCUGGAAAUGGAGGUUUCUACCAAGGUACUCCACACAUGGACACGAGAUUUUCUUGCACCGAUGUAACAAAUCCAGACGAGUUCGAUGAAGAGUUUGAUCUGUUUCCAACAAAGAAAAGCCUGGAUAUAGUUCGUUGGAGAUAUGAUCGGUUGAUAGUUUUGGCGGGGAGGUUUCAAAGUGUUGUAGGAGACAUAGCAACACAAGAUGAGAGGCUUCAUGCAUUGUUAAACUGGAGGGAUCCUCGUGCAACAACUAUAUUUAUGUUGUUUGGUUUUGUGGUUGCGAUUGUCUUGUAUGUGAUACCGUCUCUACUCCAAGUUUGUUUCGGUUGGGUUUUAUCUUAUGAUGCACCCUAAGUUAAGAGAAAUGGUGUAAAGCUUGUGUUCUGCUUGAUGGAUUGAAUCAAGGGUUGCCUAAACUGGGAAUUGGACGGAGUCGGGUUGGCAAUGGUUGCAAGGAAGAAAAUGAAAAUGAAAGUCGUGGAAGAAAGAGUGUUGAGAGCAAACAAUAUGGAUCUAUAGACUUCUAAUUUUCUAUGUAGGCAUCAUUAUAAAUCAGCAGGUUAUAACUGAUGGUCAAAGGUACUUGCAGUUAAUAUCUACCUGAUAAUUUCAUGACAGUUAGCGGAAUGUCGAUAUAUCUGAUGUCAAAAAGUAUAAGGCCAAUAGUUUUUGCAGAACGACUUUGCAUAGCAACACAUUGAUUAAAACAAUAAUAAGUCUAGAAUAGUUGCAUUAUUUGAAGAUUUUGUUACUUUUCCUUGUGUAGUUUAAUUCAACAUCUCUAGCUUUAUUUUUGUGAGCAAUAUUUGUAGUAUGGUUAUUUGUAUUUUUAUACUCAGAAUUCAUCCAUACAA